UCUCACACUAAAUAAUGUAACACUUACUACUUGUGUGGUGUCCUUCAGUUCAGUGACAUCACAUUGAAGGUGGCAUCAAUCUGUGAGGAACUAUAGAGUCUCUGUGACUGACGGAGAAACUGUGUCGUUGGCUUUUAGUGUCAAACAUCUUCACACUGACCUCAUGGAGACGGAGGAGCAGCUGGGCUAAAGAAGAAAAAAAAACAACUAUGCUCUGAUUACUCUUCUCCGCUUUGAGCCAUGCCGCUGAGUGGAUAGCUUCCUGCUGUGGCUGCUGCUCAAAGAAAGACAGGACAGGAUGACAGUACCAGUGUAAAGGGGCACGGCAGAAAGUGUGGACGGUCUCCAGUGAUGAACCAACAUCCAAAAGUCAAAUUCCAUCAUAAUUCCUCAGAGCAGAGUGGACAGAAGAGACUCUGAGGUUUAUUUACUCGCAGCAUGAUAAUCUGUGAACGCUCUGUGCUCGUUUCAAUGAUGACUAAUCCCAAAACUCCUCAUUUGGGGAGUAGGACGAUGUCUGACAGCCAACAAGUUCAGCAGCAGCUCAGGAGAAUCAUAAGAUCUACUGUAUGUACUGGUAGUUAAUGUGUUAGAGGUGCACUCAUUAUCACAAAAU